rfam:Parcubacteria bacterium GW2011_GWB1_43_8 TW04_C0011, whole genome shotgun sequence.
GGUGGGGUGGCCGAGAGGUUUAAGGCGGCAGUCUUGAAAACUGUUGUAUCCUAAAAGGUACCGUGAGUUCGAAUCUCACCCCCACCG